rnacentral:lncRNA from 1 species
UCACAUAAAACAAUAUUGUCAUUCAUCUAAAACAAUCAAAAUCUUCACAUGCAAAUUUCAUCACAAGGACUUUUCCAAGGCUUGUAAUGUGGCUGGGCUAUCAAGAAAAAUUUGUUUCUCUAGAAUACAAAAUCCUUGAGUUAAGAGAGUUUAAAUCAUCAUUUAAAGUUCAAGGAUACUCUCUUUUUAACCAAUCUCACUCAUUCCCAACUUCUUCCCUUUUUCCUUUUACAUUGAGUUCACUUUACAUGUUUUUUCUCUUUUCUUCUUUUCUUUUCUUUCUCAUGCAUUUUUCUUUUUCAUCUUUUUGAACUCAAUGUUUUUCUUUUCUUUUGCCUUUCACUUUCCCCAUACAACCCCAUCCUCCUGGUCAUCAUCCUGUCCACUUGAGGCUCCAGCUGCUCUAGACCCACUGCCCUGUGCCUGCUCUUGAGGCCAAGCCAUCGCACUAUGGAACUCGUCCAUAGUCCACCUGUGCACUGGUGGCUGAUAAUAUAGUCCUACAAUCAUCUCGGUAGUGGCCACCUGCCCUCUGUGAAGGGACUCCAUCCUUGCCUCCAUCAUGGACAUGUACAUGUCCCUUAUCUGAAAAGGCUCAGGCUGCUGCACCGGUGCAUCUGCAGGCUCAUCCUCAUGCUACGUUGUUGCCCUCCUAGGACGUCUCCUAAAAACUGCUCCAACCAGCUCAUCACCUCCACAGUACUGACGAAAAUAGGAGGCAUCAAUAGCUCUCCUCGG